UCUAUAUAUGAGAAAAUAAUACUGCCAUCUGGUGGCUGAAUUUGGUAUGACUCCCUCUGAAGGUCCCGAACGGAAUAUUAUAUUUCCUCGGUAUAAUCCGGUCGGGAAUUAAUCGGCGGGAUGAUCUCCUCACACAGCGCCGCUCCGGGACUCUUAUUUCUCCAGCGUGUCCCUCUGUGCGGCGCUGUGUGUCUGGGUGUGAGCAGCGCAGGGGCGGGGCUCCGUGUUAGUGGACCUCCCGACCAGCAGGGACACCAUAGAGCGGCUUGAUGGCGGCGCUGGCAGGAAACACCCAAUAAAUAAUUCCCGUGAGGAGUGGCCCGGAUGUCACGGUGAGAAGAGGCCGGAUGUGACGGUGAGGAGAGGCCGGAUGUGACGGUGAGGAGAGGCCGGAAGUGACGGCGAGGAGAGGCCGGAUGUCAGAUGGUCUGUGGAGUGAAGAGUCUUCUGAGGACAGAGAAGAAAGAAGCUGUGAUCUUCCUUCCCUGACAGAUGUCAGAGACGUCCCGUCA